UGGGUAACAGUGCCAGGGCGUGGCCUUCACUGGGGAGGACCCAGGCCUGCACAUAUGUCAGUCUUGGGCUCUCCCUCAGCUUGUGCCAUCCACCAUGAGCUUUUCUGAGCAAAACAUGGCCCAGGCCAGCAGCGGGAGUCUCUCCAGGCUGGGCACACCCAAUGCCAGCUCAGAUGGAAACCUGGGCGCGUUGGCCGGGAGCCCUGUGCCAGGACAGAUGAUGGAGGUGGCAGUGACCCUCUCUGGGAAAGAAGUCUGCCCUUGCUAAGGUUACCCCAGAAGCUGGGAGCAGAGGCAAAAGGAGAAAGAAAAAUGUCAAAGAAAAGAAGAAACACACAAAAAGAUGACCUGAGAGGCAUCAGAGAGCCAGGAAAGGGAACAUUCUGGACUUCCAGAUGUGGUAGUUCUUGGUAAAAGGGACCUUCAGCAGCGCACACCAGGCCACUGCAACCACAGCCAGGCACAGAGGAAAACUGUGCAAAGAGUGUGAGAGUGAAGAGCGCACCUCUCCUCUUACCCAGCACUUCUACUCCUGGGAAUGCAUAUCAUAAAAACAAACAAGCCCUUGCGUUAUUUCUACUCAUUAAACUUAGAGAGUUCGCUGUGUAGGAGGUGAUGUGAAAAAUUUCCAAUCACGUUUGAAACAUGAACGGUGGGCUCCGUGCCUUGUGUCUGCCUGGCAUGUGUUUCUUCAUGGUGCCCGGAGGAAGGUUUGGGAGACCCACGCCGCAGCGUUGGCGUCUAACAAACAGGCACAGAGGGCAGAGCAGCUGGAGGAGGCCAGGGCGACGGGAGCGCGCCCCAGAGAACUGUAUUUCAGAAUUACUAGCGUGGGAACAGCGGGGAGCGUCCCCUGGCUGCACUCCUGCGUGA
rnacentral:lncRNA from 1 species